AAAGGAAUAGACGGGGGCCCGCACAAGCAGCGGAGCAUGUGGUUUAAUUCGAAGCAACGCGAAGAACCUUACCAGGUCUUGACAUCCAGGUAAAGCCAUAGAGAUAUGGAGUGUGCUUGCACGAUCUGAGACAGGUGGUGCAUGGUUGUCGUCAGCUCGUGUCGUGAGAUGUUGGGUUAAGUCCCGCAACGAGCGCAACCCCUGCCGAUAGUUACUAACGGGUGAGGCUGAGGACUCUAUUGGGACCGCCGGGGACAACUCGGAGGAAGGUGGGGACGACGUCAAAUCAUCAUGCCCCUUAUGACCUGGGCUACACACGUGCUACAAUGGCCGGCACAGAGAGGAGCGAAGGCGCAAGCUGGAGCGGAUCUCAAAAAACCGGUCCCAGUUCAGAUUGUGGGCUGCAACCCGCCCACAUGAAGCAGGAGUUGCUAGUAAUCGCGAAUCAGCAUGUCGCGGUGAAUACGUUCCCGGGCCUUGUACACACCGCCCGU
rnacentral:rRNA from 1 species